CACAUACAGCUACACAUCUGAGUGUGCUUAAUGGGCUAACGUGCAUGCGCCUGCAUGUAACAGAGCUGACAUGCUGAUUAAAACGGAUGCCUAUCAGCUGUGUUUGAUGAAAGACAGACCCAAGUCUUAAGACCUACUCAUGUCCUGUAAUGUAUCACUCAGUGUAGAGAACUACAACGUCAAGAAAAACGAAAAACCAUGGACAUAAAUGUUAUAUAUUUUCAAAAUUUCACCAGUAUAACAAAUGUCAUUUGUCAAUAGUGCAUAUUUUCUGGAAAAAUCCUGUUCUAUUUCAGACCCAAGGUUAUUGGUGUAAUCGAUAAAAUCAAUAAUAAUGUUUAUUUUCAAUUAACGUUUUUUCGGAAACUCAUACUAAGAUGUGCUUUAUAUAACAUUUCAUAGCCAUGUUCAGAAAGCUGCUUUGUUGUCAGGCCACAAGUAAACUAUGUGACAGGAAACAAGAUCACAAGGAAAGACCCCUGAAGAUCCUCCUGGUCAUAUGUCAAGUCACUACCAGCAUGUGAAUGGCAGAGUCAUGAGGAGUCUAGAUGUGUUAGUGGAGGUCAAUAUGACAGCAUGCACAGACACUUGACUGACAGACAGGAAAUCCAGAACAUAUGGAAUACAAACACAGUAGUUACAAGCCAUUGUUCCUGCAUCGUCAUUGACAGCUUCACUCAACAAAGCAGUAAGAGAGGGACAUCGCUGUGACCUCAUUAGUUUUCCAGGACAUGGAAUCAGCCUCCUGUCAAAAUCCCAUAAACACCCUUGUUCAUAAACACAUAACAUGAAGUGUUAAUAAUUUACAUUACAAACAGCAAAAAGUAUUAAAUGAUGUA